GGGAUGACACAGUAGGAUAAGCUAAGCACACUGUUGGUUAUGUGUGCCCAAGCAUUGAGGCAGUCAAAGUAGGCAAAUCCGCUUUGAUAAUGCUGGGCUGUGAUGGGGAGCGAAAUUUAGUAGCGAAGUAGCUGAUUUCACACUGUCAAGAAAAGUCUCUAUCGAGGUUAAAGGUACCCGUACCGCAAACCGACACAGGUGGGUGAGGAGAGUA
rnacentral:rRNA from 1 species